UGUUCUGCGGUUUAGUUGGAUGAAGCACCGGGCAAGCGAUACGGAGUCGUGGGUUCGAAUCCCACCAAAACAA
rnacentral:tRNA from 1 species